AUUGAACGCUGGCGGCAUGCCUUACACAUGCAAGUCGAACGGCAGCACGGGAGCAAUCCUGGUGGCGAGUGGCGAACGGGUGAGUAAUAUAUCGGAACGUGCCCAGUCGUGGGGGAUGACGUAGCGAAAGCUACGCUAAUACCGCAUACGAUCUACGGAUGAAAGCGGGGGAUCGCAAGACCUCGCGCGAUUGGAGCGGCCGAUAUCAGAUUAGGUAGUUGGUGAGGUAAAGGCCCACCAAGCCGACGAUCUGUAGCUGGUCUGAGAGGACGACCAGCCACACUGGGACUGAGACACGGCCCAGACUCCUACGGGAGGCAGCAGUGGGGAAUUUUGGACAAUGGGCGCAAGCCUGAUCCAGCAAUGCCGCGUGCAGGAUGAAGGCCUUCGGGUUGUAAACUGCUUUUGUACGGAACGAAACGGUGAGCUCUAAUACAGUUUGCUAAUGACGGUACCGUAAGAAUAAGCACCGGCUAACUACGUGCCAGCCGCCGCCGUAA
rnacentral:rRNA from 1 species